rnacentral:rRNA from 1 species
AUGAGAAUUUCCAUUGAUGAGUGUAAGGAAAGAACCGCUAGAUUGCGUGCUAAGAAAGAUAGCUUUAUAAAAGCGUGUUCUUCUAAGUUCCAUGAAAAUAAUGAUGAGGAUCUUAAAGUUAUUGAUGCAUCUCCUAUUAGAUCUAUGUUUUACAAUAUGAAUUUUGAUUAUUAUGGGACUGAUGAUGAAUCAACUUUGCCUAGAAGGCGUCCUAAGAAUUCGGAAUCUUUAGAUCUUGAUGCUAAAUUUGGUAAAAGUGAGAUUGGAAAGGUCACAACUUCUAGUAAUAUUGAACCUACUAUUUCGGAUUUCAAGGAAUUUGAUUAUGAUAAUUGUUCUUUAAAAGGAUGUAUUUCAAUGUUGCAAUCCAUUAUUAAUUCUCCUCAUGCUUAUAGUCAAAACAAAGCUUUUACCAAACACAUUGUUGAUGCCUUGAUGCAAUCUUUGGAUGAAAAACUUAAUUUGGAAGUUUCUAUACCUAGAAAACUUAAUGAUGAGUGGGAACCUACUAUAAAUAUUAGAAUUAAAUAUUAUGAGUGUUUUUCUUUGUGUGAUUUGGGUGCUAGUGUUUCCACGAUUUCGAAAACUUUACGUGAUAUGCUAGAUUUCCAUGAUCUUGAUGAUUGCUCGUUAAAUUUUCACCUUGAGGAUUCCACCAUUAAAAAGCCUAUGGGAAGGAUCAAUGAUGUUCUUAUUUUUGCAAAUAUAAAUUUGGUGCCCGUGGAUUUUAUCGUUCUUGAUAUAGAUUGCAAUCUUUCUUGCCCUAUUAUUCUUGGUAGACCUUUCCUUAGAAGGAUUGGUGCGAUUAUUGAUAUGAAGGAAGGGAAUAUUAGAUUAGAAUUUUCUUUAAGGAAAGGCAUGGAGAACUUUCCAAGAAAGAAAGUCGAAUUACCUUAUGAAUCUAUCAUGCGUGCUACUUAUGAAUUAAGUGCCAAAGAUGGCACUACUUAG